UAUCUUUAAAAAAAGUGGGCAAACAAAGGGGUCUUUUGAUGGAAAGAAACUACCCCAUGAUGAAUUCAACCAAGCAGUUUUGUAUAUUCUUCAAAAUUGUGAAGAGGUUUCACCUUUCAUAGAGGAAUACAUGAGAGAGAUUGAAAUACAAGGUUCAACGAGACCUCAUGGAAUGCUGAAUAAUGAUUUUAUUGAUUGGUUUCGUGCACGUAUAUUAGUACUAGCUUCACAAGGACGCACAACUGAUGAGCUCAUAAGCUUAGUUGUAGGUCCAAAACCAUUGGUGUAUCGAUAUUCAAUAUUUAUGGUGAAUGGAUUUAGGUUCCAAACAAAAGAGCUUGUGAGAAAAACACAGAACAGUGGAGUUCUUGUGAGAUGAGAUGAUUCAAACUCUAAUAAGGAGUAUUAUGGUGUAUUAGAGGACAUAUACGAGUUACACUACGUUGGAAAUAGAAAAGUUCAUCUAUUCAAGUGUCACUGAUGGGAUGUGGCUCGCCUAGGAAGAUGAUAUAAGAUUGACAAAUAUGGUUUUACAAGUGUGAAUGCUCAUUGUGCCUUAAAUACAAAUGAGCCAUUUGUGUUGGCAUCUCAGUCUGAACAAGUCUUCUAUUUGAAAGACUUGAUUGACAAAGAUUGGCUUGUUGUUGUAAAGACAAAUCCUCGAGAUCUUUUUAAUAUGCCUGAAGUUGAAGAAGCAGUAAUGAAUGAAGAAGCUUAUCAACAAGAGGAAGUGGAAGGAAAUGAAAGGAAUUGGUCGAGGACGUGGACGAGGUAAAGGUAAUAGUGGAAGAGAUGGUACAAGAGGUGGACAUGGAAAUUUUUGAGAACGUGAGUGUUUUGGUACUACAUCUUAGCCACCAAUACAACAUAUAAGAGUUGCUGAAGUAUCAUUGGAGACAGGACAGACACCUAACCCAAGUCAAGGAAGUCUACAGGCGGAACAAAUAUCAAGUGAUCCUCUCCAAAAAACAUCUCCAGGGGCACAAUCAUUAAGAAAUCUAGAAGAAAGUAUUCAUCCCUUCCUAGAGGUUGAAAUUGGUGCAGUUUCUCGCAUCAAUAGAAAGAGAUGAAGAGGGAAAUACAAAUCUAAAACUGUUGAUAUUAAAACUAAGUAUGGAGGAAAAAUCAAAGUAAUCAUUCUAGAUGAUAUUGAUAGAGCUGUGGGUUUUGGGGCUAGAGAUAUUGUUAAUUACGCAGGCUUGAUCAUGAGGAACAGUAUCUCAUUUCAAGAUGGAAAUUGGCAGAAUAUUGUUUCAAAACAUGGAGAAGCAAUGUGGUAUAAGGUCAAGGACAAAUUUGAAGUUUCUGGUGGGCUGCGAGCACAUAAGUUACAAGGCUUUGUGAUAAGCACUAUGCAAAGACUCUUUAGAGCUUGGAAAGCUCGAUUACAUAAUCACUAUUGUGCCUAUAGUACGGAUGAAGACAAAUUGUCUAAUCGUCCUGAGGAUGUUGAGUUGGAGGACUGGAAAUACCUAGUUAAGUAUUUUGGCAGUGAGAAAUUCAAGAUUAUCAGUGAAAGAACAAAAACAAUAGAGAAAAACAAAUAACUAAGCAUUCUUGUGGUACAAUAUCAUUUGCAGAAGUAGAGGACUCUACGGUGAAAAUACAUUUUUCUCCUAUUACUACAUAUACGUGUUCUUGUGUGUUUUCCUUAUUGAAUUAUAUUGCAAAGAGAUCCACUAUCGGGAGAAAAAGACUCACCAGAUAAAGUCUGGGAGAUCCAACACACACGUAAAAGUGCUAGCGGAGAACGUGUAUGGUUGGAUCCACAAUCCCAAUAGAUUCAUAGCCAGCUCAAACAACUUGUUGUUGAACAACAAUCAGAAGAGAUCGAAAAUCCCAUGACUAGGGAUGAGAUUUUAUCCUUAGUUCUCGGUGAGAGAUCAUGCUAUGUUCGCGGAAAAGGAUAUGGGAAAAAUCCUCCUAAAAAAGCUCAAAUACAACAGGCAGACAUAGAGGCUAGUGUGUCUUCAGCAAUGGAAAGUAUGCGUCAAGAGAUGCAAGCUGAUAUGGAACGAAAGCUACAAGAAGAACGUGAACACAUGGCGGCAGAUUUAAAAAGGAGUAUGGAAGAAGAUCUGACAAAAAAAUUGGAAGAGGAGCGUGAACACAUGAAAGGUGAAGUUGACAAAAUGUUCCAAGAACAAAUGGCCGCUGUCAUGACUAGGAUGCAACAGGGACAAAUUUCUUAAACAAUGGGGCCAAUCUAAAAGAAGUUUGAAGGCCUGCAAUGGAAGUUUUUGCUUUUUGACCAUAUGUAUAUGCAUAUACAAUUGAAUUUUUAUUUUAUUUAUCACAUGCAUGUAAAUGGAUACAACAUU